rnacentral:rRNA from 1 species
UACGGAGGGGACUAGCGUUGUUCGGAAUUACUGGGCGUAAAGCGCACGUGGGCGGAUUGUUUAGUCAGGGGUGAAAUCCCGAGGCUCAACCUCGGAACUGCCUUUGAUACUGGCAAUCUCGAGUCCGGAAGAGGUGAGUGGAAUUCCUAGUGUAGAGGUGAAAUUCGUAGAUAUUAGGAAGAACACCAGUGGCGAAGGCGGCUCACUGGUCCGGUACUGACGCUGAGGUGCGAAAGCGUGGGGAGCAAACAGG